UACGUAGGGUGCAAGCGUUGUCCGGAAUUAUUGGGCGUAAAGAGCUCGUAGGCGGUUUGUUGCGUCGGCUGUGAAAUCCCGAGGCUCAACCUCGGGUCUGCAGUCGAUACGAGCAAACUAGAGUGUUGCAGGGAAGACUGGAAUUCCUGGUGUAGCGGUGAAAUGCGCAGAUAUCAGGAGGAACACCGGUGGCGAAGGCGGGUCUCUGGGCAACAACUGACGCUGAGGAGCGAAAGCGUGGGGAGCGAACAGG
rnacentral:rRNA from 1 species